GAUGAAGAACGUAGCGAAAUGCGAUAAGUAAUGUGAAUUGCAGAAUUCAGUGAAUCAUCGAAUCUUUGAACGCACAUUGCGCCCGUCAGUAUUCUGGCGGGCAUGCCUGUUCGAGCGUCAUUACGCCCCUCAAGUCCCCUGUGGACUUGGUGUUGGGGAUCGGCGAGGCUGGUUUUCCAGCACAGCCGUCCCUUAAAUUAAUUGGCGGUCUCGCCGUGGCCCUCCUCUGCGCAGUAGUAAAACACUCGCAACAGGAGCCCGGCGCGGUCCACUGCCGUAAAACCCCCCAACUUUUUAUAGUUGACCUCGAAUCAGGUAGGACUACCCGCUGAAAUUAAGCAUAUCAAUAAGCGGAGGA
rnacentral:misc_RNA from 1 species